UCAACAGAAAUGUAAGGCUGUCUUCAGUGCAUCAGUGAUCAGUGCAGUUCUCACACAAAAUCUACAGUGCUGGAUAUGUUGUCCGGGCUUCUUCAGAGCUCUGAGAACAGCCAAACAGCAGAACAGGUUUAUGGCGAGGAAGAUUAUGAAGUGUAUCAGGGAUCUGAGAACAACCAUGAGACAAAACAACUGGACGGAGAGGAAGAGAAGGAACUGCAGUGAAAGGAACCAUGUAUAUACCUUCACAUUCAACAAUCUUAGUAUACUCAUGAUGCCCAAACAGGAUCCAAGAGUGAUUAUCCAGACCACAGUGCAGCAGAUCACUCUAUAUCUGAGAGGUUUGUACUUCAGAAAGGUUACAGGAUGAACCACUGCCAGGU
ensembl:lncRNA